rnacentral:rRNA from 1 species
UACAGAGGGUGCAAGCGUUGUUCGGAAUUAUUGGGCGUAAAGGGUGUGUAGGUGGCGCGCUAAGUCGGGUGUGAAAUUUCGGAGCUUAACUCCGAAACUGCAUUCGAUACUGGCGUGCUUGAGGACUGGAGAGGAGACUGGAAUUCAUGGUGUAGCAGUGAAAUGCGUAGAGAUCAAUGAGGAAGACCAGUGGCGAAGGCGGGUCUCUGGACAAGUUCCUGACACUGAGGCACGAAGGCCAGGGGAGCAAACGGG